AACGCAAGCGUAUUCUUGAGGAGAAACUUUGUACGACGCCAAAUUCUGAGAUUCACCUUGUCUGAAUGUAUCCUGAGAAGACCGAUAGGUGCCUUUGUGGAUGCAGAGAGGGCAGACAGCUCGGGGAGCAGAAGAUUUACUCCUGCGGCCGGUGGAAGAAUGCGAAUGCAGUGGGAAACUAUGAGAGCAUUUCCUCAAAGCCGCGGCUGCUGAUAAAUCUGCUCCCACGUGACACUUCGGUAUUUCUCACAGGUCCUGGAGCCCCGGUUACAAUUCUGUAGGUGUAACCCUUUGCGCGUAUGGUUCAACGUUGAUCAGCUGAAGAUAAAUCACCAACUACCUCCUGAGGGCCAGAAACCAUGGGAUGGGAAGUCAGUUUUCUCUGUUCGAAUCAGAAGAAUCCAAGACAGACAAACUCUGCUGUCUCUCACUCUGGCAUAAGAGAAAUGUAGAUGAUAUGGGAAGAACUCUUGAGUACCUACAGAGAAAAGGAACAGUCAGAAAUAGCAGUGCUAUUAAUUUUUAUGGCACAGUCUAUUUACAGUGCGGAGUGGGCUACUGAGGGGAGGACUAUCAAAGGGAAAGAGACAAGGCUUUCAAGUCAGAACACUUCGAUUUUUCUCCAGAUUGGUUCCAGGUGAGCCGGCUUUGGGAACCUCAGAGGGAGGAGGAAAAUUGGCCUUCCUCGGUGCGUACCCGGGAUAGGGCGCUGAGACUUUACGGUCAGGACGGCACGCGGGGAUGGAAUUCUGAAACUGCGCACAUACGUGGGGAUUUCAACGGAUGAAGCGCUGGGCCUCAACAUAUCUUGUUGUGGUUAAUCGCAGUCACAUUAAAAAGUUAGAGAGUAAAUGGACAGGGGACAGGGUGUCCUGCUUUCAUGGUAAAUUGCUGGCGAGCACAGUGCUGACUUCAAACACCGGCCUUAAUGGUCAGAAUUAUGCUGGGAGUAGCACUUCCUCAUGAACCCCCUAAAAAGCUGUUUUUUACUUUAAAGGAAAAAUUUCCACCCCUGUUCUUCGGUGCAAAUAUGGCUUCUUUCAAAGGAUGCUGUGCCAUCUCCUCUUCAUCUUCCUCUGUUCUUUUUCUGAAGGGAACCUCAUUUCGAAGGAACCUUCUACUUGCCAAGUCCAAAUGCUAUGUUCCAGUGGGAUAUACACGCCAUGCACUAAGCUGGCGGUUGCUUGAUAGAUCAUUUUUAGUUUCAUGGGUUUUAGGUGAAUAUACAGGAAUCAAACCCCUACCUCAGCCAACUGCAUUGGCAGGAGCGCAACAUAAUGGUUUGGGAAAUUGACUCAUAACUCCCUAGUUAUACAUUCAGUUCUCAGGAGGGGCGCUGCAGUUGUACCCUUGAGGUAAAAAUGGAAAACAUUUCAAUAAAAAUUGAAUAAACUCAAAAAUUAUUAAACAUUGAAGGUACUUAUCGUGCAUUGCUUCAGUAAAUAUUCAGCUGUAUGACCAGGUGGUAUGUACAAACAUAAGCUAUGUAAGUCGCUCUGGAUAAGAGAACCUGCAAAAUGCCUGAAUGUAUCUGUGGUCCUGAUGGUGCUGAUCUACUGGUUAUUGUGAACUGGAUGGAUGAAGAUUUUUUGGGGGGAGAAAGGGCGUCACUCCUUCAAUAUCAUGUUAAAGUUAAUAAA